GACGAACCGUGCGAACGUUGUUCGGAAUCACUGGGCAUAAAGGGCGCGUAGGCGGCUUAUCAAGUCAGGGGUGAAAUCCGGCAGCUUAACUGUCGAAGUGCCCUUGGUACUGACGAGCUCGAGGGAGAUAGGGGUGUGUGGAACUUCCGGUGGAGCGGUGAAAUGCGUUGAUAUCGGAAGGAACGCCGGUGGCGAAAGCGACACACUGGAUCUCUUCUGACGCUGAGGCGCGAAAGCCAGGGGAGCAAACGGG
rnacentral:rRNA from 1 species